GGGGGUAUAGCUCAGCUGGGAGAGCACCUGCUUUGCAAGCAGGGGGUCGCCGGUUCGAGUCCGGCUAUCUCCA
rnacentral:tRNA from 2 species